CCUACGGGUGGCAGCAGUGAGGAAUAUUGGUCAAUGGACGAGAGUCUGAACCAGCCAAGUAGCGUGCAGGAUGACUGCCCUAUGGGUUGUAAACUUCUUUUAUAUGGGAAUAAAAUGUUCCACGUGUGGGAUUUUGUAUGUACCAUAUGAAUAAGGAUCGGCUAACUCCGUGCCAGCAGCCGCGGUAAUACGGAGGAUCCGAGCGUUAUCCGGAUUUAUUGGGUUUAAAGGGAGCGUAGGUGGAUUGUUAAGUCAGUUGUGAAAUUUUGCGGCUCAACCGUAAAAUUGCAGUUGAAACUGGCAGUCUUGAGUACAGGAGAGGUGGGCGGAAUUCGUGGUGUAGCGGUGAAAUGCUUAGAUAUCACGAAGAACUCCGAUUGCGAAGGCAGCUUACUGGACUGCAACUGACACUGAGGCUCGAAAGUGUGGGUAUCAAACAGGAUUAGAUACCCCAGUAGUC
rnacentral:rRNA from 1 species